AUUGAACGCUGGCGGCAUGCCUAACACAUGCAAGUCGAACGGUAACAGGAAGAAGCUUGCUUCUUUGCUGACGAGUGGCGGACGGGUGAGUAAUGUCUGGGAAACUGCCUGAUGUAAGGGGAUAACUACUGGAAACGGUAGCUAAUACCUCAUAACGUCUCAAGACCAAAAAGGGUGACCUUGUUGCCGCUGGCCAUGGUAUGUUCCCAGAUGGUAUUAGAUAGUAGGUGGGGUAACGGCUCACCGAGGCGACGAUCCCUAGCGGGUCUGAGAGGAUGAGCAGCCACCCUGGAACUGAGCCACGGUCCAGAGUACUACGGGAGGCAGCAGUGGGGAAUAUUGCACAAUAGGCGCGAGCAUGAUGCAGCCAUGCCGAGUGUAUGAAGAAGGCGUCCGGGUUGUAAAGUACUUUCAGCGGGGGGGAAGCGAGUAAACUUAAUACCUUUGCUCAUUGACGUUACCCGCAGAAGAAGCACCGGCUAACUACGUG
rnacentral:rRNA from 1 species